rnacentral:rRNA from 1 species
AGUUUGAUCCUGGCUCAGAUUGAACGCUGGCGGCAGGCCUAACACAUGCAAGUCGAGCGGAUGAAGGGAGCUUGCUCCUGGAUUCAGCGGCGGACGGGUGAGUAAUGCCUAGGAAUCUGCCUGGUAGUGGGGGAUAACGUCCGGAAACGGGCGCUAAUACCGCAUACGUCCUGAGGGAGAAAGUGGGGGAUCUUCGGACCUCACGCUAUCAGAUGAGCCUAGGUCGGAUUAGCUAGUUGGUGGGGUAAAGGCCUACCAAGGCGACGAUCCGUAACUGGUCUGAGAGGAUGAUCAGUCACACUGGAACUGAGACACGGUCCAGACUCCUACGGGAGGCAGCAGUGGGGAAUAUUGGACAAUGGGCGAAAGCCUGAUCCAGCCAUGCCGCGUGUGUGAAGAAGGUCUUCGGAUUGUAAAGCACUUUAAGUUGGGAGGAAGGGCAGUAAGUUAAUACCUUGCUGUUUUGACGUUACCAACAGAAUAAGCACCGGCUAACUUCGUG